rnacentral:rRNA from 1 species
GACGAACGCUGGCGGCGUGCUUAACACAUGCAAGUCGAACGGAAAGACCCUGCUUGCAGGGUGCUCGAGUGGCGAACGGGUGAGUAACACGUGGGUGAUCUGCCCCUUACUUUGGGAUAAGCCUGGGAAACUGGGUCUAAUACUGGAUAGGACCAUGCUGUAGGUGGUGUGGUGGAAAGAUUAGUUUCGGUAAGGGAUGAGCUCGCGGCCUAUCAGCUUGUUGGUGGGGUAAUGGCCUACCAAGGCGUCGACGGGUAGCCGGCCUGAGAGGGUGGACGGCCACAUUGGGACUGAGAUACGGACCAGACUCCUACGGGAGGCAGCAGAGGGGAAUAUUGCACAAUGGGCGCAAGCCUGAUGCAGCGACGCCGCGUGGGGGAUGACGGCCUUCGGGUUGUAAACUCCUUUCAGCCAUGACGAAGCCCUUGUGGUGACGGUAGUGGUAGAAGAAGCACCGGCUAACUACGUG